GAUGAACGCUGGCGGCGUGCCUAAUACAUGCAAGUCGAGCGAACAGACGAGGAGCUUGCUCCUCUGACGUUAGCGGCGGACGGGUGAGUAACACGUGGAUAACCUACCUAUAAGACUGGGAUAACUUCGGGAAACCGGAGCUAAUACCGGAUAAUAUAUUGAACCGCAUGGUUCAAUAGUGAAAGACGGUUUUGCUGUCACUUAUAGAUGGAUCCGCGCCGCAUGAGCUAGUUGGUAAGGUAACGGCUUACCAAGGCAACGAUGCGUAGCCGACCGGAGAGGGUGAUCGGCCACACUGGAACUGAGACACGCUCCAGACUCCUACGGGAGGCAGCAGUAGGGAAUCUUCGGCAAUGGGCGAAAGCUUUACGGAGCAAGGCCGCGUGAGUGAUGAAGGUCUUCGGAUCGUAAAAAUCUGUUAUUAGGGAAGAACAAAUGUGUAAGUAACUAUGCACGUCUUGACGGUACCUAAUCAGAAAGCCACGGCUAACUACGUG
rnacentral:rRNA from 1 species